UGGCUGCGGAAUUGCCAUUUUUUUUCUCUUUCCGAGUCGUCGCUCAUUGUUAGCCUGAGAAUCUCAGUGUUGGGGUUCGAAUCAAGCUCAAAGACUCGGGCGUGAUUUCCAUUUCAUGGCAUCCAAGGAAGAAAGACUCAUUUGGAAUUGUCGCAACCAUCUCGCCUUCCGAUCUCGCUACUGUAAGUUCAUUCUCUUCCUUGGUUAUCUCAUUUUAUUUGGCUAAUCGUGCAUUGUGGAGCUCUAUUUGAACGAAAUUUGAAAAUCUUGUUACUCGUCUUGAUUUAGUUUCUUAUUCGACUUGAUUCUGUCAUCUUUAGGCUUUUGAAUCGUUCUUAGAUUUUGAUAAUGCUUCUCGUAAGCUAGGGUCGAUGGAAACAGAAGUAAGUUUUUAAUUUCUUGGAUUUUGAAAUCGUUCCUAAAAGGUAAUCAUAAACAAAAAGAACAAAAAGAAGAACAUUGUUUAAGCUUCGUAUAUUUAGAACAUAAUCUAUUUUUUUAAUAUAAAUUAUUGGUAUCUUCGUAGUUUAAUAUGGUAUUAGAAUAGAAGAUUAAACAUACAAAUCCCUGAAAUAUAAUUUACUCCUGAUCAAUAUAUUAAGCUCUCAUGUACCAAGUUUGGCUCUGUAAUCAAGUCAGUGUUUGAGCUCACAUACAAAAGAUAAAAUGCCCCAAACACAUUAAGUUAAGCCUUUUGGUUUAGUUUCAAUAUAACUUGCCUGUGCAAGAAAAUUGGUUUUGAUUCUUGCCUGCUUUCAGUAUUUGAUUUGUAAUAAUUUAAAGAUGGUGAAUGAUCCACGCAUUGGGCAGCUUUGGCUUGCCAACGGGCCAGGAAAUUCGUGAAUCUUUCAUUUGGUUGCUCGCAAGUCAUUUCGAGCCCUCCUCUGGUUACUUUAGUGUAGAGCUAUAAAAUGCCAAUAUCAUCUCUCUUUGUCAGGCGAUACUUCCGAAAAAGAUGAAGUCGAAGAAAAGAAGAAAGGGGAAGAGACUGGCGAGCCUGAGCUGUACGAAUGUUGAAUGCUGAGCUGUUAUUGUUUGUGUACUAAUGAACAACCAGUACUGAAUCGCAGUUUGCAGUUUUGUUCAGUCGAUUUGCUGCAAAUUGUCUGCAGAUAUGGCCUCUGAUGGCAGCCUUAGCGUUGCGGUUUCCACAUCUCCUAAACAUGGCAACAGAGAUGCUGAGACCGUGAGGUCGAGUUCGCCGAAAGGCCAGUGUCUGUGCUCACCCACGAUGCAUCAAGGCUCCUUUAGGUGUCGGCUUCAUCGUUCGACGUCAUCGGCAUGGAUGAAACGAUUGAAAUCAAUGCCAGCCGACCACCCUGUGGCUUCUCUUUCUUCCAAAGAAUCUCUUGGAUCUUCCUAAGGGCCUGUGCAUGAAGCUAAGUACAUGUUCCACACCUUAAACUUAUAUCCUUCUGGUUCUCUCAAGUUGUGGAGAAGAAAAGCUUUGAUCUUACAUCUCAACUUUGUAUGCAGUGGAUUAUAUAUAACAUAUUUGUCUGUUCACGUACGCAAUGCUUAUUUGUGUA